rnacentral:rRNA from 1 species
GGCGGCAGGCUUAACACAUGCAAGUCGAGCGGUAGCAGAUCUAGCUUGCUAGAUGCUGACGAGCGGCGGACGGGUGAGUAACGCGUAGGAACCUGCCCAGUAGGUGGGGGAUAGCCCGGGGGAAACUCGGAUUAAUACCGCAUACGCUCUACGGAGGAAAGAGGGGCUUCGGCUCUCGCUAUUGGAUGGGCCUGCGUGAGAUUAGCUAGUUGGUGAGGUAAUGGCUCACCAAGGCGACGAUCUCUAGCUGGUCUGAGAGGAUGAUCAGCCACACUGGGACUGAGACACGGCCCAGACUCCUACGGGAGGCAGCAGUGGGGAAUAUUGCACAAUAGGCGCAAGCCUGAUGCAGCCAUGCCGCGUGUGUGAAGAAGGCUUUCGGGUUGUAAAGCACUUUCAGUGGGGAGGAAGGCCUCGUAGUUAAUAGCUGCGAGGAUUGACGUUACCCACAGAAGAAGCACCGGCUAACUCCGUG